rnacentral:lncRNA from 10 species
CUUUUAGCUAUGAAAUAUUUUGGAUUGCGUAGGGUCUUGCGCAGCCGCGAAAAGUAGCGUGGGCCAGGACAGCGGGAGGUAAGUCGCCAAGAAAAGGGUUGGGAAGAGCUCAGAAUCGGACGGCUAGGAAGAAAUGACCAAAAGGAGCCUGAUAGCCCCCUAUUCUGCACGCUGUUCCUGGAAACCGCCUUUGCAAAGACAGUGAGAGAAAUCUAACAUGGCUCACUCCAUCUUGCUUCUAGCCUCGCAGGCCGGCUGUCUUCGCUCAUUCCUGG